rnacentral:rRNA from 1 species
CAAACCAAAGCUGGCGACCGGCGCACGGGUGAGUAACGCGUAUCCAACCUGCCUCAUACUCGGGGAUAGCCUUUCGAAAGAAAGAUUAAUAUCCGAUAGCAUAUAUUUCCCGCAUGGGUUUUAUAUUAAAGAAAUUCGGUAUGAGAUGGGGAUGCGUUCCAUUAGUUUGUUGGGGGGGUAACGGCCCACCAAGACUACGAUGGAUAGGGGUUCUGAGAGGAAGGUCCCCCACAUUGGAACUGAGACACGGUCCAA